rnacentral:rRNA from 1 species
AUUGAACGCUGGCGGCAGGCCUAACACAUGCAAGUCGGACGAGCGGCGGACGGGUGAGUAAUGUAUGGGAAUCUGCCUGAUGGCGGGGGAUAACUACUGGACACGGUAGCUAAUACCGCAUACCAUCGGAUGAACCCCGAUGGGAUUAGCUAGUAGGUGAGGUAACGGCUUACCUAGGCGACGAUCCCUAGCUGGUCUGAGCGGUUGACCAGCCACACUGGGACUGAGACACGGCCCAGACGCCUACGGGAGGCAGCAGUGGGGAAUAUUGCAGAAUGGGCGCAAGCCUGAUGCAGCCAUGCGGCGUGUAUGAAGAAGGCCGUCGGGUUGUAAAGUACUUUCAGUCGGGAGGCGUUACCGACAGAAGAAGCAUCGGCUAACUCCGUGCCAGCAGCCGCGGUAAUAC